rnacentral:rRNA from 1 species
AUGAACACCGAGUUGGUUGGACUGCAGGAGGAGCUGGGAGAAGCAAGGAAGCAGCUAAUGCAGCUAGAUGAUAGCAUGGAAUCAAUGAAAUCGUUGGGUAAGGUUCUAUUUUAUAGGGAAAGAAAAAGCAAGGCUCGGUUGCUACAUACUCGGUGGGCUCUGGUUACCAAGGAAAUCAAGAGCAACGGUGACUUAAAAAGCCAUCAGGAAGAGCUAGCCGAGCUGCAGGAUGGGAUGCAAGAAUUGAGAUCCCUCAACCAGGUUAUGUGUUCUAGGGAAAGAGAAAUCAGUGGUCGGUUGCUAGAUACUCGGUGGGCUAUGGUUACCAAGGAAAUCAAGAGCAACGGUGACUUACGAAACCUCCGGGAAGAGCUGGCCGAGCUGCGGGAUGGGAUGCAAGGACUAGAAUCCCUCAACCAGGUCCUGGUUACUAAGAGCGUAAGAGACAACGACAAACUGCAAGCGGCUCGGAAAGAGUUGAUCGAUGGCUUGAAUGUGGCUACAAAUGGCAGGGCAAACAUAGGCCUGAAGAGGAUGGGGGAGCUUGAUUCAAAAGCGGUUGCAAAUGCUUGCAGACCGAGAUUGUCACAAAAGAAAACUCUUAUUCUUUGUUCCAAGUGGGAGGCUGAAAUCAGAAACGCAGGUUGGCACCCUUUUAAGGUCAUCAUGGUUGACGAUCAGCCCAUGGAAAUUUUCUUAGACGAUGAUGACAAGCUUCUGGAGCUAAAACAAGAACAUGGUGACGAAAUGUUCGCCUUGGUGAAACAGGCGCUGAUUGAAAGGAACAAGUACAACCCCAGUGGUGGCUAUCCUGAAACGUUGCUGUGGAACUUCAAGCACAGUCGGGAGGCAACAAUGGAAGAAGCCGUCCAAUUCAUUGUAAAAAAGUGUUGUGCAAAGAAGAGGAAGCAUUGA